GCCCAGUUUAUGUCCAUGUCAGAGGAGACCUCUGGGCUGGCAGACAGGUCUGAGGUGAGGAAGGAAUGAAGGUCCAGGCUGCCCUCGGUGCAUGUAGCCAGAGUGAAGCGGAGUGGCGUUGGCUGCACUGGCUGGCGGAGGGGAUGCAUCCCAAAUGUUUCCUGGCCGCCCGCCCGAAGCUGCCUGCGGUUUCCUGGCUCCUCACCGGCUGCCCCCUGCCCGACCAGGACCCGGACCCUGCUCUCCGGCCACUGCUGCUCCUGCACCCAUGCUGUGGCUGGAGUUUGGCUUUGAGUUUUGCGCCUAAGUUGCCCGAGGGAGGGACUCCGGAGUCGGGCCGUGUUUCCCUGUCUUCGGCGGUGGCCGCAUCCCCCCUGCAGAGCAGAGCCCCCACCCGAAGCAUGCUCUGAGCCCCCAGCCCCAUCCCCAUCCCAGCAGUGACACCGAUAUUUGCUGGCUUAGGCUCCGCGCCAGUCCUACCUCAGUUCAGGGGAGCCGGGUGUGGGGAGGGGCCACUCGGGCUGCGUGUCUGGGGCCUGCAACUCUGGCUUUGGAAGAGCAUAGCGGGACUGCAGUCACUCUAUGUGGGGAGACCUGGGAUUGAACUUGGAAGACAGAGCCACAGAGUAGUUGGUGUCUCUGCAGCCCCUCAGUGUCAGAGCAUGGGGUGGAGAGAGGCCCCGGAGGGCAUGGAGAGCUCUUGACCCCUGACUGCUGCAUGGACGCCAGGCAGGUACCUCUGCAGGCAGAAGCCACUGCCACUGGCUCAGCUGUCUGUUGUCCCGCCGAGGACUGGCCUUUCCUUAACCAAAAGUGCAUGUGGGCAGCAAGCGAUUCCAGGCUGGUCUGGGUUUGGCAGAUUUUGUGUUUAAAAUGUAUUAUGAUCUUUAAAUAUGCCAGUCUGAUGUUGGCCACCAAGGCUACCCUGAAUUGAGAGAGAGAGAGCGCAUUCUGGCUCCCUCGCUGGUCAUGGGAAAGAUAAAGAAGGAAAGCAGUCUUGCAGGACGCCGUGCUUGUCAGAGAAACCCUCGACAGGAGGGGCACCCUGCUUCUCUGGUCAGUGUUCUGGAGAUGCCAGUGUGGUGGCCGCAACGGAAGCCAUCCCUGUCCCAGAGGCUCCGGACUCGUGGCUGGACCCCGCCCCAGUGCCUGUCUCCCCUGUCGUCCUGUAGAGGCCCCACUAAUUCUUGGAGAUGUGACUUGUUCAUUGGUUUCUUCUGUUGUUACUUUUUGUUUUGGAGAAAAAAAUAUUAUAUAUAUAUAUAAAUAUAUAGAUCUAUAUCAUUAUAGAGUAAUGCAUUAAUGAGGCUUUGUAGAGGAAGACCAAAAAUUUCAAUGUCUUAAGAUGUAUUUAAUGGCAAUGCAAAAGUCUUCCUGCUUUCGUGCUGAACUCUUUAGAAGCGAGGACUGUACUGCAAGACGAAGUUGAAUGUAAAGUGCUCCUGACCAUUUCUGAGGUUUUGCUUCUCUGAGCUACGCGUCGCAGCCAUGCAUAGUUGGUUUGAAGGCCGACUCCAUGUAUGAUACGCUUUGCUAAGAUGUGUAGAAUGUUCUGGAGCUUUCUCUCGUUAGGAAUCGGUGGGCGCAGCACCGUGGGCCGGAAGGGAACCUCAGCUGGCGCUCCCCACGCCCCGUGCAGCCUAAAUGAGCAGCCAAGAAGCUGAUAAUAUAUACUGAAUUUUCCUCUAUCCUGUACAUUUCAAAAAAAGGCACAUGCAAUAUUUACAUGUUUUAUUUAGUUUACAGAACGGAACCAAAAUGUAUGUUAUGUUUGCAAAAAUUUCACAAUGUAUAUUGGGUCUUUGUACAUUUUGCCUGACUUACCUUAAAUUUAAACUAUUUUUUGCUAUAUAAACUUUAACCGUUAUUAAACAGUGUUUUCUUUUGGGUAUGUAUUGUUUCUGGAUCUGGAGCUGUUAAAUAUAUUUCUUGCUAUUGUGUUAUGUCAGCACCUCCCCCCCAUCUUCCAUGCUGUACAUAGGGUUGGGAAUGAGCCAGGCUAGAGUAGUGCAUUGUAUUUAGUCUGUAUUGAUCAUGGAUACCCUCCUGAAUAGCCAUAUGCAAUAAAUAAAAUAAAUACAU
rnacentral:lncRNA from 1 species